UACAGAGGUCUCAAGCGUUGUUCGGAUUCAUUGGGCGUAAAGGGUGCGUAGGUGGCGCCGUAAGUCGGGUGUGAAAUCUCGGGGCUUAACUCCGAAACUGCAUUCGAUACUGCCGUGCUUGAGGACUGGAGAGGAGACUGGAAUUUACGGUGUAGCGGUGAAAUGCGUAGAUAUCGUAAGGAAGACCAGUGGCGAAGGCGGGUCUCUGGACAGUUCCUGACGCUGAGGCACGAAGGUCAGGGGAGCAAACGGG
rnacentral:rRNA from 1 species